GAUGAACGCUAGCGGCAGGCCUAAUACAUGCAAGCCGAACGGCAAGAACUUUAGCAAUAGAGUUCCUAGAGUGGCGUAAGGGUGCGUAACACGUAUGCAAUCUGCCCGCAACAGGAGGAUAGCUCCCCGAAAGGGGAAUUAAGACUCCAUAAGAUCACAGGAAGGCAUCUGAGAGUGAUUAAACUACCAGGGGUUGCGGAUGAGCAUGCGCAUGAUUAGUUAGUUGGCGGGGUAACGCCCACCAAGACGAUGAUCAUUAGGGGAAC
rnacentral:rRNA from 1 species